UUUAUUAAAUCAAAGUAUGUUCAGAAUUGGGAAACACCAGACUGGGUAUUGUGAAAAAUGUGGCUCUGAAAAUAUGGAAACAGUUGAACAUGUAUUAUUAAAAUGUGAGGCUUAUGAUAGAGAAAGAUUUAAGUUAUUUCAAGCAUUAAGCGAGUUGGAAAUGAACGUUGUGUCUAUGCAAACAUUAUUAGGUGAUUGCCCAAAGCAGGUUAAAGUAUAUGAAGGAAUAUUUAAUUACUUAAAAGAUACUUUUUUAAUUAACAGGAUUUAGGUCACUACUACCAUAACGUUAUCCACACUCCAAUCCAGUAGGUGGCGGGAAUGCACCAUUUAAGUUUGGUUUGCCAACUGCCAUUAAACUUGAGUAGAAGAAGCAGAAGAAGAAGUAGUCUCGUCUUGCCAUGAACAAAAGUGCGGGAGCUGAGAGAAGCUGACGUCGCCGACGUCCGUGGUUUUCAGGUCAUUGGCACUGCUGUGCAAUGUACAUCUAGGAUGCGGUCUAUCCAGAUGAGCUUCUCUCCAAUGCCAGUAAACCGACAGUGGAAGACACGAGCCAGCACUUCUCCCCCCACAUUGCCUCAGGCUUUUGAGAUCCCCACUUUAAAACUGCUUCUCCCCCCUUCAUGAGACCGGAUGCUAUGUUGGGAUCACCGGGGCCUCCGUCGGCCGCCAUUUACACGCUACAUCAGGUGUAGCAAUUAUGUGAGCUGCAGUCUGGAUCCUGCUUCUGUCAGAUGACCUAACACAAAUGGAAAGAUGACAUCGGCCCUUGCCAGGAUUUCAGACGAUGCCAGCACUGGACUACACACAGUGUGCUGCAACGACGCGUCGACGCCAUCGAUUACGUCGACUAUGAAAAUACGCCGACAUGCGUAAAAUGCGUCGACGCGUCGCUGUUUACAUUCAUUUCGCGUAAUGGCGGCUUCUGCUCCUGGCAGUGUUAUCCAUACAUUGAUUUGUUUGUGUGCGCCACAAAAUCAACAAUGGCCGCAACAUUUACAUUUUUAUUUUCAUUUAAAACGGCUUCAUGUAUUGUUGUGAGCGUUCGGUGGUGCCUCUCUUGUGCACGCGCGCUCUCUCUUUCUCUGCGUGAAGCCCCUAGACAGCGCCUCUCAUACAUGACACUGAGUGAAAGAAUUAAAAGUUGUGUUUUCCAUGCGGAUUCCUCUGUGUACUUGCAUUUUCACAUAAACGUCAGAUGUUACUGUCA